GAUGAACGCUGGCGGCGUGCCUAAUACAUGCAAGUCGAGCGAACAGAUGAGGAGCUUGCUCCUCUGACGUUAGCGGCGGACGGGUGAGUAACACGUGGAUAACCUACCUAUAAGACUGGGAUAACUUCGGGAAACCGGAGCUAAUACCGGAUAAUAUAUUGAACCGCAUGGUUCAAUAGUGAAAGACGGUUUUGCUGUCACUUAUAGAUGGAUCCGCGCCGCAUUAGCUAGUUGGUAAGGUAACGGCUUACCAAGGCAACGAUGCGUAGCCGACCUGAGAGGGUGAUCGGCCGCACUGGAACUGAGACACGGUCCAGACUCCUACGAGAGGCAGCAGUAGGGAAUCUUCCGCAAUGGGCGAAAGCCUGACGGAGCAACGCCGCGUGAGUGAUGAAGGUCUUCGGAUCGUAAAACUCUGUUAUUAGGGAAGAACAAAUGUGUAAGUAACUAUGCACGUCUUGACGGUACCUAAUCAGAAAGCCACGGCUAACUACGUG
rnacentral:rRNA from 1 species